AGAGAGGACUGGGGCAGGAGUUGUGUAAAAGGGGCUGAAGUCCUGCGCUGCGUCCUCCACUGCUGCUGCGCUGCAAAGAAAAGUAGGCUCACCACCAGCUCCACCACCAGAUAUAUAAAUGCUGCCAAACCGUUUUAUAUCGCGGAUGUGAAACAAACAAACAGUCAACGACACGCCCUGCUGAAGGUCCAGGACUCCGCCGGAGCAAUGGGCGAGGCAGCCUGAACUCCGCUGGACCGUCCAGAUGGGUUGGCCGCGCAGGAGCGACCCGGCCGGUGGUCAAGGAACAUGUGCACCUAAAGCAGACGAAGGAAGGAGUCACUAUUUGUGCCUUUAAAGCGGGCCGUCCGUCACUCCAGGCUGUCUAGUUUGUACUCUCACGCUCUCUGGCUGACUCCCAGCAGUCCCUCACCCUUGGCCCCAAAUGGCUGACACACAGCAGUUCUUCACUGGCAAGCUUUAUGUUCCUGUACACAUGCUAAAGCUGCCAGCUGAAGAACUGCUCUGGUCAGCCCUGCCCCGGAUGACUCAAGAAGAGGAAGCGGACGAGGGUUGCUGGGAAGAGGACUAAGGAAGGCGGUGUUUCACACGCUCAGCAGUCAGGCUGGACUUUAAUAAACCGGACAGAUUUGAGCCCCCAUUGUUUAUGUUCCUGUGUUAAUCACAUGUAAGCUUUAUUUCACUUCAGUCAAUACAGAAUGUUUAUUUUGUGGUCCACAAUAACCUGCUUAUAGUUUGUCUAUGAUGUGCUUUUCGCUCACAUUAAAGAACAAAAUAUUUUCUCAGACUGCUGCGUUAUUGUUGUGGACAAAACUGGACACUGUGGACAAUAAAAGACAUUCCAGCACCGAAGGCUCUCCUGUCCAAAAAUAACAACACGCACACAAAGAGGCACACAAUAGAUGUAUGCAAAAAUGUAUCACACUCAUCCCUUUUAACUUUCAAGUCCCUGGUGAUCCCAUUAAAGGGGAGCGAGAAAGAUCAGAGUAAAUUGAGAUGCUCUUUAAAUGUAAAACUGUCCUCAGAUAUGCAAUAACUCCUGAGAGUGGUGUUUGUUCUCACAUUAACGAGUCAACAAGAUGACAUUUAGUCAGGAGAACUGCGUGAAUCCAGUUAGAUCGUUAAGAUGUGAAUCCAGAGGGUGAAAAAAUAACACCCAGUGUCUGCUCCAAGGAUUCCUUCAUGGACUACAAACUUUUAGAGACUGAGGAGAGGGUAAGAUAACCCACUGUAUGUAAAAUAAUCUGUAUAAUAAAAUAAUACACACUGCAGUGCUUGUUAUGUUAUAAUCUUGUAAGUAGGUUAAACUCUUACUUUAUUACUGUAUGCUGCAUUAGUUUAAUAAAGGAAACUUUUUUA